UUCCUGAGGAGUUUAACGUAUUACAACAGUCUUAUCAUGUCUCAGAGAAUCCAAUUAUUACUGAGGAGUUUAACGUAUUACAACAAUCUUAUCAUAUCUCCGAGAAUCCAAUGAUUCCUGAGGAGUUUAACGUAUUACAACAAUCUUAUCAUAUCUCAGAGAAUCCAGUGAUUCCUGAGAGGUUUCAAUUAUUUCAACAAUCUUAUCAUAUCUCAGAGAAUCCAUUGAUUUGUGAGGAGUUUAACAUAUUACAACAAUCUUAUCAUAUCUCAGAAAAUCCAAUGAUUCCUGAGCAGUUUUAAGUAUUACAAAAAUCUUAUCAUAUCUCAGAGAAUCCAAAGAUUCCUAAGGGGUUUCAAUUAUUACAACAAUCUUAUCAUAUCUCAGAGAAUCCAAUGAUUCCUGAGGGGUUUCAAUUAUUACAACAAUCUUAUCAUAUCUCAGAGAAUCCAAUGAUUCCUGAGGAAUUUUAAGAAUUACAACAAUCUUAUCAUAUCUCAGAGAAUCCAAUGAUUCCUGAGGGGUUUCAAUUAUUACAACAAUCUUAUUAUAUCUCAGAGAAUCCAAUGAUUCUUGGGGAGUUUAGAGUAUUGCAGCAAUCUCAUUAUGUCUCAGAGAAUCCAAAGAUUCCUGAGGGGUUUCAAUUAUUACAAAAAUCUUAUCAUAUCUCAGAGAAUCCAAUGAUUCCUGAGGAGAAUCAAUUAUUACAAAAAUCUUAUCAUAUCUCAGAGAAUCCAAUGAUUCCUGAGGAGUUUAACGUAUUACAACAAUGUCAACAUGUGUCAGAGAAUCCAAUGAUUCCUGAGGGGUUUCAAUUAUUACAACAAUCUUAUUAUAUCUCAGAAAAUCCAAUGAUUCUUGAGGAGUUUAGAGUAUUACAGCAAUCUCAUUAUGUCUCAGAGAAUCCAAAGAUUCCUGAGGGGUUGUAAUUAUUAUAACAACCUUAUCAUAUCUCAGAGAAUCCAAUGAUUCCUGAGGAGUUUAACGUAUUACAACAAUCUUAUCAUGUCUCAGAAAAUCCAAUGAUUCCUGAGGAGUUUAAAGUAUUGCAACAAUCAUAUCGUAUCUCAGAGAAUCCAAUGAUUCCUGAGGA
rnacentral:lncRNA from 1 species